GUCUGCAACUCGACUACAUGAAGCUGGAAUCGCUAGUAAUCGCGGAUCAGAAUGCCGCGGUGAAUACGUUCCCGAGUCUUGUACACACCGCCCGUCACACCAUGGGAGUCGGAAAUGCCCGAAGUCUGUGACCGAACCGAAAGGAAGGAGCAGCCGAAGGCAGGUCGGAUGACUGGGGUGAAGUCGUAACAAGGUACC
rnacentral:rRNA from 1 species